AUGGUCUACUGUUACAGGAAGAUCGCAGCAGCUGGAGAGGAAGCUCUGAGAGAGAGCGAGACCAAAAAAAGUCUCAAGUCAAAAGCUUGACGCUCUGUCCAUCAUGGCAUCACCAAUGGCCUCCUCGGUCACCCUCACCGGCUCUCUGUGAAACCACAGGGCUGCUGUUUUUACCGUUGUGUACGACUGUGACAGAACCGCCAUUCUAAACCAUCAGGGAAACACACAGUCACACAUUACAUAAAAAGGAAAUGUUUUGUUUUAAGGCUCUAGAUGACAACUUUGAGGUUAACGAAUGAAUGAUGCAUUCACUGGUUCAAGCAUGAAUCUGUAACACUUAACAGAACACUGAACUUGACUUGUACAUACGUGUUUGAGCUUUUAACAU
rnacentral:lncRNA from 1 species